AUUGAACGCUGGCGGCAUGCUUUACACAUGCAAGUCGAACGGUAACAGGCCUUCGGGUGCUGACGAGUGGCGAACGGGUGAGUAAUACAUCGGAACGUACCCAGAGGUGGGGGAUAACGCAGCGAAAGCUGUGCUAAUACCGCAUGUGAUCUGAGGAUGAAAGCGGGGGACCGAGCAGCAAUGUUUGGCCUCGCGCCUUUGGAGCGGCCGAUGUCGGAUUAGCUAGUUGGUGGGGUAAAGGCCUACCAAGGCGACGAUCCGUAGCUGGUCUGAGAGGACGACCAGCCACACUGGAACUGAGACACGGCCCAGACUCCUACGGGAGGCAGCAGUGGGGAAUUUUGGACAAUGGGCGCAAACCUGAUCCAGCAAUGCCGCGUGCGGGAAGAAGGCCUUCGGGUUGUAAACCGCUUUUGGCAGGAACGAAACGGUGUCCGCUAAUACCGGGCGCUAAUGACGGUACCUGCAGAAUAAGCACCGGCUAGCUACGUG
rnacentral:rRNA from 1 species